rnacentral:tRNA from 1 species
AAAAUUUUAGUUUAAUAAAAAUAUAUUUUUUACAAAAAUAAGAUAUUAAUUAAUAAAUUUUA